CUUUUGUCGGACGAGAAAACAAACGUUUACGGUUCGUACAAGAGGCGCGAACUUUAACGCUUUACGUCCCGAAGGACGUAAAGGGUCAAGGAACUUGCCAUCGGAGUACCUGUUGCGUUUGCUUCAACUGUUGGGCCACGCUAGGUGGUAACAUUUGGAAGAGCAAGGUGUCGCUCUUCCCUUUCUCCUGCUUCAACUCCCGCGCUUUCUGCGCCAAAUUCGCUGCGUACAUCUGCAGAAAGAUUCCCGCGUUGACGCGUAUAAUCCGAAGCAACGCUAGCCAUCGAGGGACGCGAGUAAUAUCGCGAAAAGAACCGACAACGUGCGCGGGAAUCGUGCGUCGUUUAGUUGGGACCCGAUGCAAGAGGAAAGCACGUGUCGCUUAAUUGGAGACGUCGAUAAAGACGAUAAAGGUGAGAAUUACGCGAUGACGGCUAAACGGAAAUGGAUUGAUGGAUCGGAGAAGGUUUUCGCUUACCUGUAUAGUAGCUACCGCGUUACGCACGAGGAUGAUGAUGAUGGGGGAGACGACCAACACUAGAACGACUAUAGCGAUUCCGGCGACUUCCUUGUUGCUCGCGUCUUGCAGGGUGGAGUUCACGUAAGUCCUGUUCAAACGAAAUAACAAUCAUCUCGAAACCGUCGCUAUUCUCGCGAGCUCGGUGCUGCCCGGUCGGGAGCCGGCAACCGGCAACCGGCAACCGGCAACCGCAAUUCCAUUAGCAGGAUUCACCUUAUCAUGUGACGUAGUUCCCGUUGUAGCUUCCGCAGUUCGUCCACGUAAGUCGCCAUUGAAUCGAAAUAAGCGAUCGCGUCGUCCACGCUCGGCUCCCUUUUCUGGUGCUUCAGGAUCUCGUCUCUCCUACGGCACGCAAGCUAAUUUUUAAGAUGAUCCGUCAUUACAAACAAACUGCUAACAAAUCGCGACUGUCA